rnacentral:tmRNA from 1 species
GGGGGUGAUCUGGAUUCGACCGGAUGUAGAGAAGCGCUGACCUGCGUGUCGUGGUUGAUCAGUUGGCCACGUAAAAAGCUGAUCACAAUUUUUUAAUUGCAAACGAAAGUUUCGCACUGGCCGCCUAAGAACAGGUAGCCCGGGUUGAUGGGGGCCGCCAAAGUCGCCUGAAUACCCGUCACAAUUUUGGAUCGCUCUCCGUCCUACUCGAGACGCGGUGAGUUAAAAAAGAUUCGAGUUAGCGGAACUGGGAGCCUGUCAAGCAGCGCCCAGCGAAGUGAAAAGGUUCUUCAGUGAACUACAAAUAGUUUGACUACACAUCGUAGACGGUCACGUGGACGCAUCGCGGGACGCGGGUUCAAUUCCCGCCGCCUCCA